rnacentral:rRNA from 1 species
AUAAACGUUGGCGGCGUGCCUUAUGCAUGCAAGCCGAACGAGCUGCCGCAAGGCAGCUAGUGGCAAACGGGUGAGUAAUACGUAAGUAAUCUGCCCCUAAGUGGGGAAUAACAUCGAGAAAUCGAUGCUAAUACCGCAUGUGGUGACUUCUCAAAUGAGGAGUUAAGAAAGCCGCAAGGCGCUUGGGGAGGAGCUCGCGUCCGAUUAGCUAGUUGGCAGGGUAAAAGCCUACCAAGGCGAGGAUCGGUAGCAGGUCUGAGAGGAUGUCCUGCCACACUGGGACUGAGACACGGCCCAGACUCCUACGGGAGGCAGCAGCAAGGAAUAGUAGGCAAUGGGCGCAAGCCUGACCUCGCGACGCCGCGUGAGGGAUGAAGGCCUUCGGGUUGUAAACCUCUUUUUUCAGGGAUGAAUAAUGACAGUACCUGGAGAAUAAGUCACGGCUAACUACGU